GACGAACGCUGGCGGCGUGCUUAACACAUGCAAGUCGAACGCCGAAGCACCAGCUUGCUGGUGUGGAUGAGUGGCGAACGGGUGAGUAAUACGUGAGUAACCUGCCCUUGACUCUGGGAUAAGUCCGGGUAACUGGGUCUAAUACUGGAUGCUACAUGUAACCGCAUGGUGGUGUGUGGAAAGGGUUUACUGGUCUUGGAUGGGCUCACGGCCUAUCAGCUUGUUGGUGAGGUAAUGGCUCACCAAGGCGACGACGGGUAGCCGGCCUGAGAGGGUGACCGGCCACACUGGGACUGAGACACGGCCCAGACUCCUACGGGAGGCAGCAGUGGGGAAUAUUGCACAAUGGGCGAAAGCCUGAUGCAGCGACGCCGCGUGAGGGAUGACGGCCUUCGGGUUGUAAACCUCUUUCAGCAGGGAAGAAGCCACAAGUGACGGUACCUGCAGAAGAAGCGCCGGCUAACUACGUGCCAGCCGCCGCCGUAA
rnacentral:rRNA from 1 species